rnacentral:tRNA from 1 species
UAGGGCAUAGCAUAAUUUAAAUGUUUUUCGCUUACGUUGAAGAGAUGGCCCUGUGGGGGCCUGCCCUAA